rnacentral:rRNA from 1 species
CGGCGUAACACGUAAGCAACCUGCCCCAAAGACCGGGACAACAGCCCGAAAGGGCUGCUAAUACCGGAUGUGGCCGUCGGGAGACAUCUCCUGACGAUUAAAGCGCGCAAUCGGCUUUGGGAGGGGCUUGCGGCCUAUCAGCUAGUUGGGGAGGUAACGGCUCACCAAGGCGACGACGGGUAGCUGGUCUGAGAGGAUGGUCAGCCGGAUUGGGACUGAGAUACGGCCCAG